rnacentral:rRNA from 1 species
AACGAACGCUGGCGGCAUGCCUAACACAUGCAAGUCGAACGAGACCUUCGGGUCUAGUGGCGCACGGGUGCGUAACGCGUGGGAACCUGCCCUUAGGUUCGGAAUAACUCCCCGAAAGGGGUGCUAAUACCGGAUAAUGUCUUCGGACCCAAGAUUUAUCGCCUUUGGAUGGGCCCGCGUUGGAUUAGCUAGUUGGUAGGGUAAAAGCCUACCAAGGCGACGAUCCAUAGCUGGUCUGAGAGGAUGAUCAGCCACACUGGGACUGAGACACGGCCCAGACUCCUACGGGAGGCAGCAGUAGGGAAUAUUGGACAAUGGGCGAAAGCCUGAUCCAGCAAUGCCGCGUGAGUGAUGAAGGCCUUAGGGUUGUAAAGCUCUUUUACCCGGGAUGAUAAUGACAGUACCGGGAGAAUAAGCUCCGGCUAACUCCGU